GGAGAUCUUAUUGAGGCGACAGAAUACAUGGCCACUUCCCACUACCGAGUGGCAUCAGAUUGAGCUUACACCGUCUAUAGCAAUCCUGUGGCUGUUUAUGUGCCACAACAUUGAGCCUACCUCUCACAGGACCACAUUCACAGAUCCCACAGCUGGAUUCCUUUAUCACUUGGUGCGAGGUAAUAAGGUUGAUCUUGCCACUCUUUGCUAUGAUCAGAUACAUCAUGUGGGUACUUUGGGAGAUAGACACAGCUCAAUGAUCUUCCC
rnacentral:lncRNA from 1 species